rnacentral:rRNA from 1 species
CCUACGGGUGGCAGCAGUGGGGAAUAUUGGACAAUGGGGGGAACCCUGAUCCAGCCAUGCCGCGUGUGUGAAGAAGGCCCUCGGGUUGGAAAGCACUUUCAGUGAGGAAGAACGCCUGGUGGUUAAUACCCAUCAGGAAAGACAUCACUCACAGAAGAAGCACCGGCUAACUCCGUGCCAGCAGCCGCGGUAAUACGGAGGGUGCGAGCGUUAAUCGGAAUUACUGGGCGUAAAGCGCGCGUAGGUGGCUUGAUAAGCCGGUUGUGAAAGCCCCGGGCUCAACCUGGGAACGGCAUCCGGAACUGUCAAGCUAGAGUGCAGGAGAGGAAGGUAGAAUUCCCGGUGUAGCGGUGAAAUGCGUAGAGAUCGGGAGGAAUACCAGUGGCGAAGGCGGCCUUCUGGACUGACACUGACACUGAGGUGCGAAAGCGUGGGUAGCAAACAGGAUUAGAUACCCGAGUAGUC